UAGUCUUAUUUAUGAUUUUGAGCGUAGAGUGCUUUGAAUCAUCUGCAUGCACUGUGUAUAGGUCUAUUUCUGUCGCAGUUCAAUGUGCCUUCCCGUGAUUUUUACUACAAGCGUGUACUUGUGAUUCUUUCCGGAUGACGUAGUAACCCUAUAGAUAGCGGUAUUCGAAGGAGUCGGUGACGCUGGUUUUAAAAAGCUUCCUUUAUGGUUCCUCGAGAACAUCCUCAUUUGAACUGUCGUCUUGUCCGAUCGUUGAAGCUUCUAAAAUAUUAUCAAGAGAAUGCAGCUUAUUUGGCUCAGCUGUUUGGUGUUUCUCUGGUCAUCGGUCGCAGGAGAACAAGACUUGAUGUGUGAUCCUGAUGGAUGCUGUACGGAGGAAAAGCUGGGCUGUGGAGAUUGUGAUGAAGUUAUUAACGAAUUUGGGCAAGUACACUGUGAGUGCUGGACAUGUCAACCAGGAAUUUGCCAUGAUUAUUUAGUGAAAAAUGGCAAUGAUAAUAUGUUCUCAUCUUCAUCCAAUACAUUUGGAAUGGAGGCUGAAAAUGCCAGGCUAGUGACGGAAGAGAACUCUCCUGAUGAAUGGCUAUAUUUCUUCGGCUGGCAGCCCGAAGAAAACGAUACAUCCCCGUGGUUGCAGGUAGAUUUGACGAAGAAGCAUCACAUAUCAGGAAUAGAGACUCGAGGCAAUCCGUUCGGAGAUGAGUUUGUGUCAGCUUAUAAAGUGAUGGUUAGCAUGGAUAAUACGCAUUGGCGCAGCGUUGGUGGUCCUGAAUAUGACGACGGGCUAUUCGUUGGAAACUCUGAUGGGAAUUCAUCAACAACCAACUACUUUGAUUCGCCGGUGUUUGUACGUUCUCUACGCGUGUAUCCAUUAGCAUGGGAAAGCCAGAUAGUCCUACGUCUAGAUUUACUAGGAUGCUUGACAAUGCCGACAAUUACGACGACAAAGGAGCCAACAGAUGUAAACAAUAUCAACAUUUCUGUUUACCUAAUCGGUGGGAUCUGCUUUACGCUAUUGUUGGCUCUCAUUAUGGUUGUUUGCUUAAUCAAUACGCCAAGACGUCGUAAAGUCAUUAUAAACCAAGACAGUCCGAACUCAUUUGUGGCUACCCCGCCUGGUUCAAUUGCAAGCUCGCCGACGUCGGCCUCAUCCGGUGAUACGUCUUUUCCUAAUCCCGCAUUCGCUACCAGUCAGAAGUCUCUAUUACCGAAUGAGGGCAGCAGACAGCGCUGUGAAUCAAAUCCAUACAUUCAAGUAUCUUUCCUAAAAAACAAUGAAAAUCCAGCAAUGAAAAAAUGUUUACAACAAACUGAAAUCAGAUAAAUAAUAUGCCAUAAAAUACGUGUUUAUUUUUGGCAGCAUGAAUUGUUAUUUUUUUUUUCAUUUUUAUAUUUUUCAUUGUAUAUUAUUAUUAUCGUUAUUGUUUAUUAUUAAAUACAUGUAGACUGAAUCGGCGGCUCGGGUCACGUGACUUAUAGUAGGUAUUAGGGUUUGUUUACAUUUAUCGAGAUCGCGAGACGAUAGUGCAUUGAAUAUGGCUUCGCCUUGUUGAUGCAAGUCACAUCAUAGAUGUUGCAAAUGUUGUUUGGAAUGCGAGUUAUAAUUUGGUAAAUCACUUAGAAGUGUUCCAAAAUUAAAUUUUCAAACACUUAUCAAUUUGGUUUGGUAAGGAUCCAAUGGAUAGUGGGAAUAAAGCCUGGAUUUUUUUCAAGGAAAGGCACGUACCUUCACGACGUGCAUAUUUGCUCCAGUGAGUCAACGCCGGCUGAGGAUAGAAUGGUCAGGCACCAGUUUCACUCGAGCUCCUGUGAAUUUUGUACCGGUGAGCUGUCAAUUAUGAGAGCUUCAAAGUGCUGGAGAACUGAGCUGUCAAUCAAUCAAUAAAUUUAUUAGGAAUAACACUUCAAGAUCGGUGGUGCACAUAAUGGUGGUGCUUUCAAAUUAACAGUUUUUACAGAAAAUAAGCAAACUUUCAUAACUAGGCUUACAGAAACACAAUUUUUAAGUAAAAUGUUUAACAUAAAUAAAUAAAUUCAAUCAAACAGGUAAAAAAAAAAAUCUGUGUAAAUGAUUCCUCUUGCGUUUAGUUGGUAUCCUUCAUUUUAUUGGUUACUGUUUGGAUAUUUUAUGGUUUCAUUCAAUUUCUUGUGUUCAUUUUGUGUA
rnacentral:misc_RNA from 1 species